GCGCCAGUCACUGGGAUCGCACUUUUUUACAUCAGACCAGACCCAGAGGCGAAAUGAAAGUGAAAGGCGCGCCCGUUYCGCCGCCCCUCCGGGGGUGGCGUGCGCGGACGCGCCGCAGGGAGGAUGCGCGGACGGCGUCAGCCGUCCCGCCGCACUCCCGAGGCGUUUCGAGAAAGCCCCCGUGCGACUAUCGAGACGCACUGAGAGCGCACGCGCUGGGACCCGAAAGAUGGUGAACUAUGCCCGGUCAG
rnacentral:rRNA from 1 species